CAAUAGGGAAGUGGGGACCAUAAUGACAGAACAAUAAAGAAAUGAGGAGUUCACAACCACAGCAAUUGAUAAGUGAUUUCUUGCUAGACAGAAUGCUAUCAAGAGGCCUCACACGCCACUCCUCAAAAGUGGAGCUAGAACAAUGGGAUCCUGGUUCAUGCCUGGGGCUCCCAGAUGCUACGGUCCUCUACCUCAUAGAGCCUCAGGUGCCAGGACGGAUGCCCAGGGCUGGACUCCUGCUGCUGCCCCUUCUCCUCUGCUUUGGGCCAGAGACCGCUGGGAGCAUUGACCUGGCCGCGCUCAGAG